rnacentral:misc_RNA from 1 species
UUUGGAAGUGGGGUUGCCACAGGUAAGUUUGCAAUGGGUUCAAAUGAGCCUUUGGGCAAGCCAACUGACAUUGUUGACAUCCUAGAUGAUGGCAUUGAAGUGACCUCAAAGUUUGUUGAUUGUUCCAAUCUAACUAACAAGGGGAAGACUGUUGACAAGGGUACCCCUGGUGAGUCCAAUGAUAACAAGCCUAACUUAGGGAAGAGGAAGAGGUUCAUGACUGAUGAGGAUGUUGCUGUGUUCAAUGGGAUGAAACAAGCUGUUUCAGAUGUUGCUGCUGCUGUCCGUGAAAGCAUCCAUGCUGAAGCAGCACCUGGGAUCUACAAUGUUGUAAUCAACUGUCCUGGGUUCUCUAGGGAGGCUCUCAUGUAUGCCCUAAACCACAUGAUGGAGCACAAGGCCACCUCCCUGGUGUUCCUGGACAUGACUCCUGAUGAUCGUGACCUAUGGCUCAAGACUUU